rnacentral:rRNA from 1 species
GCAAGUCGAGCGCGCCCUUCGGGUGAGCGGCGGACGGGUUAGUAACGCGUGGGAAUAUACCCAGUUCUACGGAAUAGCCUCGGGAAACGGAGAGUAAUACCUUAUACGCCCUUUGGGGGAAAGAUUUAUCGGAGAAGGAUUAGCCCGCGUUAGAUUAGGUAGUUGGUGGGGUAAUGGCCUACCAAGCCUACGAUCUAUAGCUGGUUUGAGAGGAUGAUC